CACUGACACCAAAAAAACCAAAAAAAAAAACAGAGAGAAAAGGAGCUCAUCAGCUUCGGUUAAAGUUCAAAUUGUUCUGAUUUACAGCGUAAAACUUCCAAGUGUUGGAAGGAACUCCGUGUGCUUCGUGAUCACAAACAAUUGACAAAGCCUAACUUGUCGUGUCACGUCUUCUUGCUUAAAUUCUCAAAUCCCAAUUACACAAGAGUUUUUAAAUUCCCUCAAUUUUCGUGUGCUAUUACAAAACUGUGUGCUUGCUCGUGGAGUCAGCAGCGCAUGCUUGAUCAACGACGAUCGUCCUUCUCUCAUAGCCUCUGAUCCAACAAUUUCUUCUUCUCAGUUUGCCUUGUAUAAUUUGACCCACACAAUGGCGCAGAGUAAUUGGGAAGCAGAUAAGAUGCUUGAUGUGUACAUUUAUGAUUAUUUAGUGAAGAAAGAAUUGCAUGCCACUGCUAAGUCUUUCAUGAAUGAAGGGAA